rnacentral:rRNA from 1 species
UGCCAGCCGCCGCGGUAAUACGGAGGGUGCGAGCGUUGUUCGGAAUUACUGGGCGUAAAGCGCGCGUAGGCGGAUUAGUCAGUCAGAGGUGAAAUCCCAGGGCUCAACCCGGGAACUGCCUUUGAUACUGCUAGUCUUGAGUUCGAGAGAGGUGAGUGGAAUUCCGAGUGUAGAGGUGAAAUUCGUAGAUAUUCGGAGGAACACCAGUGGCGAAGGCGACUAACUGGACUGAUACUGACGCUGAGGUUCGAAAGUGUGGGUAGCAAACAGGAUUAGAUA